ACUCCUACGGGAGGCAGCAGUGGGGAAUAUUGGACAAUGGGGGCAACCCUGAUCCAGCAAUGCCGCGUGUGUGAAGAAGGCCUUCGGGUUGUAAAGCACUUUUGUAGGGGAAGAUAAUGACUGUACCCUAAGAAUAAGGUCCGGCUAACUUCGUGCCAGCAGCCGCGGUAAU
rnacentral:rRNA from 1 species